rnacentral:ncRNA from 1 species
CAUUCCCAAUAGAGUUCAAGAGGGCGUGAAACCAUUAAGAGGUAAACGGGUGGGGUCUGUGGACGGUUUGAGGCCGGUAGCGAUCCUGGUGCGCCGGGACCAGGUCUCCUUGGAGUCAGGUUUCUUGGGAAUGCAGCCCAAAGCUGGUGGUAAACUCCAUCUAAGACUAAAUACUGGCACGAGACCGAUAGUCAACAAGUACCGUAAGAGAAAGUUGAAAAGAACUUUGAAGAGGGGAUUCCCAGUAGAGUUAUUUUGAUCAAAGAAUUGUGAUUUUUUUUCACCCCCAUUUGAAGAUGAACAAAUAUGGUUUCAUAAAAGAAGUGGUAAAUCUUGAGUCUCAUAUUAAUGAGCAUUAACAACAUCUUGGCUUUCGAAGUAGUAGAUUAGCUUUGUAAUUCAGAGAAUAGCACAACUUUUUUUGGACGUGCUUGUGUAUAUGACAGACAGUGACUCUUAAUAUAAGGGCAUUAUAUAACUGUGAUACUCUGCAUAUUCCUUACCUGUAAUUUACAAAACAGGAAAUAUAUUGUCCCAAAUAAUUGG